rnacentral:sRNA from 1 species
UUGGAUGGUUUUGAAAGUGAUGGCCUCAGUUUAUCUGCACAACAGGUGCAGUAGAAGUAGCACCAGAGCACUCGUGGAUCUCUGCAAGGGUACCUCAAGUCUAGCAAACAGGGACCACCUCAGGGGAUGAGAAGGGUGUUCAGGCUCCAUUCCCAUUCAGUGCUUGGCCUGU